UCUGUCGAUAACACACCACCGAAUAAUCCCGCGGUAAUUGGUAAUUUUAUCCUCGUAAUGUCGCGGUAAAUAUGGAAAGCUAUUUAAUCCAGGCUAUCUGAAACGAACAUGGAAAUUCGUGAAUAUGUAAGUACAGCCGUGUUCAGUGGAAUCGUUACGAAAAAUUAGAUAAACCUGUGUAAUCGCUGAGAAAUUAUUGCAACUGUUAAAAUCAUGCAUAUUAUACGAAUAGAAAAUUGUUUUCCUCGUAAUCUACUAUAUUCCACUGUUUUAUACGAGGCCAGUAUGUAUCCUAGUAUCUAUUAACAUUAUUAUCUAUUACGUUAUAUUCUUUACAAAUACAUAAAUUACACGUUGGUACGAAGUCUGUGUUUGUUAUUGACAUAAAAGUAAACUAUAAAGGAGCAGACAUUCGAACGAAUUUCCAACGACAUCGACUACUAGAGGAAACCCGUUUCCGCAACAGCGGCUUAUCGAUUUCUCCAACAGGCGUCUCCUUUUUUUAUGACAUACAUACGCGUCUAUGACGAACAUUUUAUUGCUUUAUAUUAGAUGCAACGCCAUGGUCGCGCGAGCUUACGUCGAUCGGCAUCGCCAGAUAAAAGAAGCCUGAUUGAAGUGCACGGUAUAACGCAAAUUCUGAGGUUAUAGGCACAGAAACGACAAAACCGCGAUGUAUAACGGCAGUUUUAUGUACUGUCGUUCGAUAACAUAGCUAAAGAAUUAUUUCGUAAUUGAAAUUGGAGAAACUUGGGAAUCCGGUUGCUAGAAAUUCUAAGCCCGUACAAUUUUAAACACGGCACGACAUUGUAGGCGGGGAAUGAGCAAAUAGUUUCGAUUAGAGCUUCCCUGGAGCGGCGCACGAGACAAAAAGGACGUAAAUAAAUGAAAAGAGCGCUCGAGUUCCUCGAACGUGUGCGCCAUCGUUUCGAUUUUACAACGACUAAAAGGAAUUCUUGUCGUUCGAUACGCGAUAUUGGAAAACGUAGCGGAAAGAAAAAUAGAGAGAAAGAGAGAAAGAGAGAGAGAGAGAGAGAGAGAGAAAGGGAGACGGAAGUAAAGACGAUACCGUGAGAGAUAUCGUACGUAAAUUUCAAGUGAAACUUCCCUCUGUUAUUACCGUGGUAUCAACGAUAAAGAUGUUGUGAAACAUUUAUGAUAUUUGUAGCUUGGAAACUCGUACGCCGCGAUAAUCAAAGCGCACUAAGAAAUCACGUAAUUGCGAGUGGGAAUUCGCUUUUGCAAAUAAACCGCGUAGACGUUCUCGUUAACAGGCGUAGCGUGGAUAAUGCAAUGCGGAUUGUUAUUAAUUCAAUCGUUGCGAACUCAGUGUCGCGUGAUUUAUAAACCUCCCCUCCAGCCUCCGCUCUCGGCCGAUCGAUUAUUUAAUCAAUGCUGCUUUAUAAUUUCACCGAAUAAUAUUGGCUUUCCGCAGCAACGAUUUAUACCGCGAAAAAUUCACGGGUACGGCUGUUGAUUUCUGCCACGAACAAUACCGGUAAAUGGAAAAGAGAAUUUCUGCAAUGGCCUUGACUGGAAAUUAGCAAAGCUCUUGGUUAGCGGAUUCAGAUGAUCGCCAUAGGAAUCGCUCGAAGGUCGACGUAUCUUGACCUAAAAAUGAGGUUCUGUGCCGAUUCCUUUCCCUUUAAUCGUGUUUAUUUUAAACGCGCGUCUCUUUCACACGUAUUAGGAACCUUCUAGAAAAAGGAGGUGGACAGUUUUCGUAAUUCUUGCUAUUUCGAGAUAUUUAAAAUACCUUUUACCAGGUAUUCUAGAUUCUUACCCUUUUCAAUUAAUUAUUUAACAAUUUCGAUUAAUUAUUGCGUUAUAUCUUAUUUUAUACGUAAUCUUAAUAUUUAUGAACGAUUAUGAACUGAAUUUACGAGUAUACUUGUGCGUAUUUAAGUAUUAGGUUGUCCGAAAAGUGUCUUUCUUUCCCAGACACGUCUUUUACAACGAUGCAUCUUUAUACAAACAUGAAACCUAAUCUGUCGAACGUUGUAAUCUUCAUCUUGAUGGAACAAAAUGGAUCAUACGCAAUUCGAUAAAAUGUAAAACGGAAAAUGUUGUGCAUCCAUUAUUUCCUUAUAAAACGAAACAAACUUUUCGGACGACCUAAUACGUUUCUGAGACCAAAAUAGUCAGACCAAAGUAAACGAACGAGCCAUACAGUGACGUUUAUACCACCGAUCCAGAUCGAAGAAACUAUCAACGUUUCCAUAACAAGAAGAGACGUGACAUGUUCAGCAUCGAGUACAGCAAAUUCCCGAUAUCCCGGAAAUAAUACGCGGAUUGCGUAACGAUCACAUCGCGUGAAACCGCUGAUCGUUUCCAACGAUGCUCGUUGGUCAGACAUUAAUUUGCUUAGUACAGACACUUGAAAGCCACGAUAGUACGAAGGACCAACGUGAAUUUGCAGUAAGUUCGUUUUAUGGCUGAUUCGGUUUAGAACUGGAUGUAACAAAGGUCGUGUGUUUUGAUUUGAGCUUUAUAGCAAUUUAAUUUUAAUUAAUCGAUGAUAUACAGGGAUUAUCACGCUCUUUCGAGUUUAAAGAGGACGUGAUUUAUGCACAGGAAGAAUGUAAUGUUUAUAAAAAUAGGAAUUAAAUAACCGGUAGUUCUAAAGCUAUAGAAUACGUAGAUAAAUUCGCGAAACGAUAGAAAUCAAGAAAAUUCUGUGGUUUAAAAUAAAAUUUCCAGAAUAGCAAAAUUACAUCGGAGGUUACCGUUUAGAAAAUGGAGUUUAAUAGUCACGUACGCGUGAAUUUGCCUAAUAUCAACUAGACAAGAAUAGUCAAUCGACAAAAGUUCAAGUUGAAAAUGUACAAUAAAGCGUUUUGGUUUAAGGUUCCAUUUUUGACAACAAUUUCCCAUAAUUAAGCAUCUGGAAGCUUUAUUUUCUUUCCAGCACACUUUUUGGCGAUCGAAUCUUGCGAAAGACGCAACAACUACUUGAUUAAUCGAUAUUUUCGAUCAAUUCGAGCAACAUAUAGGUUUUUAUUCCUUUACGAAUGGAACGAAUUUACAAAGCUGCGUGUAAUUCGUAUUUACACAAAACAACAUGUUUAUGUUUAUGAAUGAUAUCAAUCGCUAUAUUCAAGUAACUACGUUGAACGAAGCUUAAGCAAAACCUACUUCACAACGAUAUAUUAUUAGACAAAUUUCUAAAAAAAAAAAAAAAAAAAAUA